rnacentral:rRNA from 1 species
GAUGAACGCUGGCGGCGUGCUUAACACAUGCAAGUCGAACGGAAAGGCCGAAGCUUGCUUCGGUACUCGAGUGGCGAACGGGUGAGUAACACGUGGGUGAUCUGCCCUGUACUUCGGGAUAAGCUUGGGAAACUGGGUCUAAUACCGGAUAUGACGAUCUCUUGGAUGGGGUUGUGGAAAGCUUUUGCGGUAUGGGAUGAGCUCGCGGCCUAUCAGCUUGUUGGUGGGGUAAUGGCCUACCAAGGCGUCGGCGGGUAGCCGGCCUGAGAGGGUGUACGGCCACAUUGGGACUGAGAUACGGCCCAGACUCCUACGGGAGGCAGCAGUGGGGAAUAUUGCACAAUGGGCGCAAGCCUGAUGCAGCGACGCCGCGUGGGGGAUGACGGCCUUCGGGUUGUAAACUCCUUUCGCAAUCGACGAAGCCUUUUGGUGACGGUAGGUUGAGAAGAAGCACCGGCUAACUACGUG